UGCAUUGCUGCUUUAUGGAGGAGGGACCAGAGAGGCAGGCAGUUCAGCUGUUGUUGGCCCAAGCUUGACUGGCCGUGGAAUACCAGCCCCUUACUGCUAGCCCAGCGUGGGUCCCUAUGUCCCCAAAGCCCACAGCAGAAUUUCUGGCGUGGAUUACAGAGUGUCCUUGGGAGAAUGACUAUGACAGAAGGAGCUGGAUACAGUUCUCUUGCAGGAUCUCCUUCCCAGCCUUCAGAAAUUGCCGGUCUGGGAGUUGGGGGCAAGGAGAAGAUCCUGCAACCCAGUGAUUCCAUGGAAAGCAGAAAGAAGGACAUAAAGAAACGGAUACUUGGUGACAUCUUUGACUCACUGGAUCAAACCUUGCCUGAAGCUCACAUUUCUGAAAUUUCCAGAUACAAGAACAAAUACUUCCUCUUUAUUGUUUUACUAGAUUUGAGACAAGCUUUAAGUUUCUCAGACUCUUCCUCUUCCUAACAGAUUUAUCAGAAGCUGAAAGCUCUGAUCUUGUUGGGAUGCGGAUCGUGUCAGGAGAAGGCUUACUUUGCACGCUUUUCUUAGUCUGGUUGCCUAACUCAAGAACCUCGGCAUGGCUCUGUUACUUCUCUACUCAGACAAGCAUCCCUGCAGACACUCACUAGGCUAACUCUGUCUUUAUUUUUAGAAUUAGACCUUUACGAGAAGCACAGUUUUGUCUUCAGUUUCCUCUCCCCCCACCCGGAAUGGCCUGAGCCGAAGCCAGCUCCCUCCGAGAAGUCAUUACCGCCUGACUUGCGUUUGAUAUUUAGACACCUUGGUCACAACAUCUUGCAUUCUCUCGGGAUGCUGAUUUCUAACUGCUCUUUGGCCUUUCCUGCAUUGGUCCUCCUCAGGCAGGGGAUCCCUGCUCUUCUAUAUUAAUGCUGGCUCCCCGUCCCCUGUCCACCAUGAGUCAAAGCAAUGUGAGUCCCUCACCAGAUGCAACUGCCCAGUCUUGGACUUUCCAGUGACCAGAAUCAUGAGCCAAAUAAACCUCUUUUCUUUAUGAAUUACCCAGCCUCAAGUAUUCUGUUAUAGCAAAACAAAACAGACAAAGACAGUUUACCUACUUACUUACUAACUCAGGAAAUAUUUUUGAGCAUCUAUUAUGUGGAUUACACCACAAAAGGAUGAACAAUGCAGACAUCAUCUUUGCUGUAAAAGAGCUCAUGGGCCAGCAGUCAAGAUAGAUAUUGAACAAGUGAAAGUCUGGUUAGAUGCACAACUUAAUGUCUGAAAUUCUCCAAUGGAUCUCCUGAAUGUGUUCUAUUUCGUAAAGGACUUGUUAGGAAUGCCUUCAUUUAACCUCUGGGCUUAGCCGCAUCCACUGGAUUUGUCCAUCUGUUGGGUGAGAUUGACUUUCUGUGGCUUGGUAAUCCUUGGGUUCCAG
rnacentral:lncRNA from 10 species